GGCGGUUAGAAUUUUCAUUUACAAUGAAAGGCACCCUUUAGGGCGCCUUUAUAUCGCUAAAAAGCUAAG
rnacentral:tRNA from 1 species